UUCAGCUGCAGAAAUCUCUGACCUGAUUGGCUCCUACCAAAAAUCUCCAUAUGAAAAGGGGAAGAUUCAACUACCCAAACCUCCAGUUUUCUCUACUUUCUUUUUUUUUUUUUCAUCCGACAAUUUCAUCUUGAGCAUGCAGAGCUGCUUGGUCUGGGAGGGAAAUGAUGCUUUCUCAUCAGUCCCUCUUUUUCUCUAUCAUCAUCAGUAUCCUGACAUGGCAAGGUGUUCCUUAACUCCCCUGUGGAGCCCCCUUAGCACAGCUGGGACAAUCGAGUGUUCAGCACCACGGACAGCAUUACAACCCAUUCAGCACUUGUUGAAGUCAUUUGUCCAUUUCUCUCUCAGGUGCAACUGA
rnacentral:lncRNA from 1 species